CGUAGGUGGCAAGCGUUGUCCGGAUUUAUUGGGUUUAAAGGGUGCGUAGGCGGCCCUGUAAGUCAGUGGUGAAAUAUCUCAGCUUAACUGAGAGGGUGCCAUUGAUACUGCGGGGCUUGAGUACAGAUGAGGUAGGCGGAAUUGACGGUGUAGCGGUGAAAUGCAUAGAUAUCGUCAAGAACACCGAUAGCGAAGGCAGCUUACCAAGCUGUAACUGACGCUGAGGCACGAAAGCGUGGGGAUCAAACAGGAUUAGAUACCCUGGUAGUCCACACUGUAAACGUUGAUGACUCGAUGUUGGCGAUACACAGCCAGCGUCCAAGAGCAAUCGUUAAGUCAUCCACCUGGGGAGUACGCCGGCAACGGUG
rnacentral:rRNA from 1 species